AAACGCUAAACGGAACGAAUAUCUCUGAAUGCCCUUAUUACGCGUGCUAAGUUAUGAAAUCAAAGAUACCACAGGGAUAGCUGGCUUGUGGCAGCCAAGCGUCCAUAGCGACGUUGGUUUUUGAUCCUUCGAUGUCGGCUCUUCCUAUCAUUGCGAAGCAGAAUUCGCCAAGCGUUGGAUUGUUCACCCACUAAUAGGGAACGUGGGCUAGGUUUAGACCGUCGUGGGACAGGUUAAUUUUACCCUACUGUUGACUGAUUGUUGCGAUAGUAAUCCUGCUUGGUACGAGAGGAACAGCAGGUUCAAACAUUUGGUUCAUGGACUUGACCGAUUGAUGAAUGAACUACCCGAAGCUGAAGAAGGAAACGCGCGUCGAGCUGAGUCGGGAAAGCAUCUAAGAAUAUCGAGGGAAUAGUGAACAAGACAAUGAACAUUUAUUACCAUGCUCACUCGUUCGAUACUGCAGUCGUAGGCGCAUUGACAUGGGGCCCAGAAAUUUAGAGUCUAUGGAAGCGGACUGAACAUGCAUUAUGUGCCACUCAGCACGUAGUGAAAAGUACGGUGCUCGGAACGUCGCGACACAUUCACGUUUUGAGGGAGAAUCUGGGUUUCGAGCUUUGU
rfam:Haemonchus contortus, ISE/inbred ISE, WGS project CAVP01000000 data, contig: Hcontortus_18415